GGGCCCGUAGCUUAGUCUGGUGGAGUGCUGCACUGAUAAUGCAGUGGUCGUCGGUUCAAAUCCGAUCGGGCCCA
rnacentral:tRNA from 1 species